rnacentral:tRNA from 1 species
GCUGUGGCUCAGUGGUAGAGUGCUCACCUGGCAUUGUGAGGCACUGAGUUCAAUUCUCAGCACUGUA